UUUUCUUCCUUUUGUUUGCUUAGAUUCUUAUAAAUUCUUCUUUCUUCGUUUAUCUCUCCUGUGUUUUAUUUCUUUUUCCUCUUUCCUUUUUGCUACGUUUUUGGUGGUUUUCACAGCUGAUUUUGGGUUUCCUAGCUGCAAAAAGGGAGGGAGAAUGGAUAUUUCUUUGCGUCUUUUUAAUUUUUUUUUAAUCAUAUAUGUGUUUUAGAGCAAAACUUGCGGGCUUAAUCUACUUUGAUUUUCAUUAAGUUGUUCUUUCUGCUGCAUGUGUUCGCUAUGGCUUGAGAUAAACAGUGGGACUUAAAUUUGCAGCAUUUGGAACUUGCUAAUUUAGUUUUUAUUCUCCUGUUUGCUAAUUUAAUUUUUUCUUGGAAUUUUGUUAGAAAAAAAAAGGUUACAGUAGAUAGUUUUGUUUUGUUGAUGAAACCAUAAAUAGAAAGUUACUUUCAGGACCAAAAUUCAACACAAGGUAUAGAGAAAAUCUUAACUUUGCUGAGAGGUCGGUCUAUUUGUUCUUUCAUUUUUUUCUUUUUUGUUUUUGCUGUUUUGGGGUGUCAUUUUGUUUAUUUCUGUAUGAUUUCUUUGGUAUUUAUUUUAUUCUUGCUGCUCUGUUUGGUUGUGGAUUUUAAGCAUUUGACGUUGUUUUCCUUUUAUUGAUGUAUACUUAGCCAUCUUUUUUUUCUUUGAUGUUCUGCCAUUUUUCACUAUGUUGGCUGCUCAAGUUGUCCUUUUGUGAUUACAUAACUAUAACUUUGGUGAUCCCGUAAAAUUAUCUGCCAAACUUACAAACAUAUAUGGAGAAUGGAGUAACCAUAGAUAUCGUCAAUGUAUUCCAUCAACACAAGAGAUAUAAAAUGACACAGCGACUUGGCAUAUAUGCAAUCACUCCUGAAAUACCGGACCUGUAAAGUGCAAGUUGUGGAUAUAUGCAAACCAGGAGAAGGUUCUUACCGAAAGAUAAAAUAUUUGAACAUGAUCUUUCAAGAUGAACAAGAAGACCAAAUAAAAGCUAUUAUUUACGGUGAUGACAUCUCCUCUUAUCAAGAUAUAUUCAAGUUGUUCCACACCUAUUUGAUAACGGGUGCGCGCAUACAAGUACCAAAUUUGAGAUGUGAAAGACCCUUGCAUACAUUUGAGUGGAUUAUUGACAAAAAAAACCAUAGUUGAUCCAAUUGAAAAAGAUGAUCCAGAUGAGGAUGAAUUGCCACCACCCACAAAGCUGAAUCUUACAUCAUUUGAAGGCAUCAACAAUCAGGCCUCCCAGUCUACCAAAGAGCAGCUUAAGGACGUAGAAUUUAAUAUACUUGCAAUUGUUGUCCGCUGCUUCCCACCAAGGUUUGUUGCAAAAGUCCAGAAAAGAUUGCAAGAAGUCAUUCUCAUUGAUACUGACAAACAAGCCUUGACCUUCACACUAUGGGAAGACACUUUUAUUGAGGACGAAGGCAGGAAACUCCUUGACCAAUUCCAAAAACGUCCUAUUAUCUUUGUCAGGCGUAUUGGGGUAUCCAAGUACAAUGGUACAUCGUUGACAACAAAAUUUAACACCACAAUACAAAUUGAUCCCCCUUAUACCCAAUGCCUACAAUUGCACACAUG